rnacentral:rRNA from 1 species
CUGGAGGUAUCAGAAGUGCGAAUGCUGACAUAAGUAACGAUAAAGCGGGUGAAAAGCCCGCUCGCCGGAAGACCAAGGGUUCCUGUCCAACGUUAAUCGGGGCAGGGUGAGUCGACCCCUAAGGCGAGGCCGAAAGGCGUAGUCGAUGGGAAACAGGUUAAUAUUCCUGUACUUGGUGUUACUGCGAAGGGGGGACGGAGAAGGCUAUGUUGGCCGGGCGACGGUUGUCCCGGUUUAAGCGUGUAGGCUGGUUUUCCAGGCAAAUCCGGAAAAUCAAGGCUGAGGCGUGAUGACGAGGCACUACGGUGCUGAAGCAACAAAUGCCCUGCUUCCAGGAAAAGCCUCUAAGCAUCAGGUAACAUCAAAUCGUACCCCAAACCGACACAGGUGGUCAGGUAGAGAAUACCAAGGCGCUUGAGAGAACUCGGGUGAAGGAACUAGGCAAAAUGGUGCCGUAACUUCGGGAGAAGGCACGCUGAUAUGUAGGUGAAGUCCCUCGCGGAUGGAGCUGAAAUCAGUCGAAGAUACCAGCUGGCUGCAACUGUUUAUUAAAAACACAGCACUGUGCAAACACGAAAGUGGACGUAUACGGUGUGACGCCUGCCCGGUGCCGGAAGGUUAAUUGAUGGGGUCAGCGCAAGCGAAGCUCUUGAUCGAAGCCCCGGUAAACGGCGGCCGUAACUAUAACGGUCCUAAGGUAGCGAAAUUCCUUGUCGGGUAAGUUCCGACCUGCACGAAUGGCGUAAUGAUGGCCAGGCUGUCUCCACCCGAGACUCAGUGAAAUUGAACUCGCUGUGAAGAUGCAGUGUACCCGCGGCAAGACGGAAAGACCCCGUGAACCUUUACUAUAGCUUGACACUGAACAUUGAGCCUUGAUGUGUAGGAUAGGUGGGAGGCUUUGAAGUGUGGACGCCAGUCUGCAUGGAGCCGGCCUUGAAAUACCACCCUUUAAUGUUUGAUGUUCUAACGUGGACCCGUGAUCCGGGUUGCGGACAGUGUCUGGUGGGUAGUUUGACUGGGGCGGUCUCCUCCUAAAGAGUAACGGAGGAGCACGAAGGUUGGCUAAUCCUGGUCGGACAUCAGGAGGUUAGUGCAAUGGCAUAAGCCAGCUUGACUGCGAGCGUGACGGCGCGAGCAGGUGCGAAAGCAGGUCAUAGUGAUCCGGUGGUUCUGAAUGGAAGGGCCAUCGCUCAACGGAUAAAAGGUACUCCGGGGAUAACAGGCUGAUACCGCCCAAGAGUUCAUAUCGACGGCGGUGUUUGGCACCUCGAUGUCGGCUCAUCACAUCCUGGGGCUGAAGUAGGUCCCAAGGGUAUGGCUGUUCGCCAUUUAAAGUGGUACGCGAGCUGGGUUUAGAACGUCGUGAGACAGUUCGGUCCCUAUCUGCCGUGGGCGCUGGAGAACUGAGGGGGGCUGCUCCUAGUACGAGAGGACCGGAGUGGACGCAUCACUGGUGUUCGGGUUGUCAUGCCAAUGGCACUGCCCGGUAGCUAAAUGCGGAAGAGAUAAGUGCUGAAAGCAUCUAAGCACGAAACUUGCC